rnacentral:rRNA from 1 species
CCGGUAAACGGCGGCCGUAACUAUAACGGUCCUAAGGUAGCGAAAUUCCUUGUCGGGUAAGUUCCGACCUGCACGAAUGGCGUAAUGAUGGCCAGGCUGUCUCCACCCGAGACUCAGUGAAAUUGAACUCGCUGUGAAGAUGCAGUGUACCCGCGGCAAGACGGAAAGACCCCGUGAACCUUUACUAUAGCUUGACACUGAACAUUGAGCCUUGAUGUGUAGGAUAGGUGGGAGGCUUAGAAGUGUGGACGCCAGUCUGCAUGGAGCCGACCUUGAAAUACCACCCUUUAAUGUUUGAUGUUCUAACGUUGACCCGUAAUCCGGGUUGCGGACAGUGUCUGGUGGGUAGUUUGACUGGGGCGGUCUCCUCCUAAAGAGUAACGGAGGAGCACGAAGGUUGGCUAAUCCUGGUCGGACAUCAGGAGGUUAGUGCAAUGGCAUAAGCCAGCUUGACUGCGAGCGUGACGGCGCGAGCAGGUGCGAAAGCAGGUCAUAGUGAUCCGGUGGUUCUGAAUGGAAGGGCCAUCGCUCAACGGAUAAAAGGUACUCCGGGGAUAACAGGCUGAUACCGCCCAAGAGUUCAUAUCGACGGCGGUGUUUGGCACCUCGAUGUCGGCUCAUCACAUCCUGGGGCUGAAGUAGGUCCCAAGGGUAUGGCUGUUCGCCAUUUAAAGUGGUACGCGAGCUGGGUUUAGAACGUCGUGAGACAGUUCGGUCCCUAUCUGCCGUGGGCGCUGGAGAACUGAGGGGGGCUGCUCCUAGUACGAGAGGACCGGAGUGGACGCAUCACUGGUGUUCGGGUUGUCAUGCCAAUGGCACUGCCCGGUAGCUAAAUGCGGAAGAGAUAAGUGCUGAAAGCAUCUAAGCACGAAACUUGCCCCGAGAUGAGUUCUCCCUGACCCUUUAAGGGUCCUGAAGGAACGUUGAAGACGACGACGUUGAUAGGCCGGGUGUGUAAGCGCAGC